GCUGGGCGUGGUGGCGCAUGCCUGUAAUCCCAGCACUUUGGAGGCUAAGGUGGGCGUAUCACCUGAGGUUAGGAGUUCAAGACCAGCCUGACUGACAUGGUGAAACCCCAUCUUAA
ensembl:misc_RNA Metazoa_SRP Metazoan signal recognition particle RNA